rnacentral:lncRNA from 11 species
GAAAAUUAGCAAACAACUGCAUUCUUAACUUGAGCACAUUGACAGCAUCUCAGUCUUGCAUCCUCAGAGGCUGUGUGGCAGACCUUUCCAGACCUUUCACCAUUAUGGUCCCCUUCCUCUGGACACAUUGAGCUUGCUGGCUGAGAACUACGGGAGCUAUAGUUCCAUGGAUUUUAGAGAAUGAAACCCCUCAGGUAUAUGUCUAUCUCAUGUCUAUAUCUAAAAUG